GAAAUGCGAUAAGUAGUGUGAAUUGUAGAAUUUAGUAAAUUAUCGAAUCUUUAAACGCAUAUUGCGCCCCUUAGUAUUCUAUAGGGCAUGCCUAUUCGAGCGUUAUUUGUAUCUUUAAGCUUUGCUUAGUGUUAGGUGUUUAUCCUACUCUAUGCGUAGACUCGCCUUAAAUCAAUUAGUAGCUAGUAAUCUAGUAUUAAGAGCGUAGCACAUUAUGCGCUCCUCGCUGUGUAUUACGGCGUCCAUUAAGCCUAUAUUUUUUGCUCUUAACCUUAGAUUAGGUAGGGAUACCCGCUAAACUUAA
rnacentral:misc_RNA from 1 species